UCUACCAUUGGUUCAAGAUGCUUCUUUGAUAAAAAGAACUUGACAUUGGUUUUUAAAAAAUGUUAAGAAGGAAACGAGAGCUCAAUAAUAAUACAAAACCAUGCAAAAAAAGUUGUUGUUUUAUUUGUAACACUCUUGUAGUUUAUUUUAAUCUACUGUUAUUCGGCACGAAAGUUAUUUCUCAACUGUAGAAGAUAAAAGGAAGUGUUGACUGACAUCCUAACCAAUAAAAUAAUCAAGAGGAGGAAAAAUCAAUUCCAUGAACUUGAAGAAUUCAUCAAGAAAUUCCUCUACAUAAUAUUAUAUUUAUAUCCAUGUACUGGGUGGAAACUCGAAACUUACUCAUUUGUAGCCAUGUAUCUGAAGCACCUGUUGCUUUUACAUUUUUUUAAAUGAGACGAGAAUUGUCAUCGCAGCAAGAUUCAAGGCUUAGGUAUCUUCUUCGUGCGGGUAAUACUCCCACAGAGGUAACUAAGCUGACGGGAAUGGCUCGUAGUACGAUCAACAAUGUUAAGAAGAGGGUAAACCAUUCGAAACUAUAGAGAGGAAGGAGGAAUCCGAAAAAUAGUCCAUCAUAAAUACGGAUGCCCUCAAGGAAGCCCCGGAUCUAAUUCCCAGAGGGUUACAGGCUUACAGAAUCCAUGUACAUCGACGUUUUUAAGGCCAACCUGCUCCCCUGGGUAUUAGCAAGUUUCCCGAAUGGCAACGUCGUCUUUCAACAAGAUGGGAGAUCCGUUCACACUGGGAAAAUUGCUCCGACCUUCUUCGCUUACAGCAUCGCUGGCUGGGACAAGGGAAUGGGGCCAUCAUACAGUCCAGAUGUAAAUCUCCUCGACAUUGGCUAUGUAACAGAAAAAGAUGAAAAACGAUUUUUGUUUAAUGUCUGAUUAAAGAAUGACAGGCUAGGUUCUUUUUUCUUUCCAAGUGUGUACGGUUCAAUUUUCCAUCUGGUUCGACCCGACAAAUUGGUAGAUGCACAGCCCUUGUAUUGCAGCAAAACUCAAUAGGGUUUUAUACAAUAAUUAUGAUUGAAAACAUUAUGAAAUGUGAAUAACCAAGGUUAAACCAAAGUUUAUAUAUCUAGAAAAUGAUGACGCGGAGUAAUUAAAAAUUUUAAACAGAAAUUCGGCUUCCUUUCAGUGACCUAGUUCCGAAACUAUGGUACGCAAGCUCCCCCUUGUGGUAUGUAGAGGAACGUCAUAAAUAGAUCAAGCAUGAGCUUAAAAAUUCACUCGACCGAUGAAAAAUUAUUCAAAUGUUAGGUAUCCUCUAUUCUGUGGUGUACUAUUGUUUUAUCCCCUUCAGAUCUUGCCAAAUCUCAAGCCCAACACCUAGUGGCUAUAUACGCUCCGUGCCCAAUGGCUUACCUAAAAAUUUACCCGAUAUUUUGGAUGGAGGGCGAUGAAAAAAGAUGAUAUCGCCCUUCUGUGUAAUACGUCCAUAGACAGGUACCUGCUUGCUAAGGUUGUAGCAAUUAUGACCUUCCGGUAUAUAAUAACAAAGGAACUCGAAAAAUGAAAUGGUAAUUUUGAUAAUUUGAAAAAUUGGAAUGGGAAGCGCAGCUUAGCUGUCAUGACGUAUUAUUAGAUUAGCUUCGAGCAAGGAAAACAACCCAAAUCCCACUACUUAUCUAGAACGAUCUCGAUGUUCAUUUAUACACUCAAUCCAACAAGGAUCUACGCUUAUAACUUUGUCAUUCACGCACAAGUGAUUAUUAUAUACUUUUUACAUGUUUUUUCUAUUUAAAGAAAAAGAUUAUUUGUCAAAUUUUCUUCUUUUUACAAAAGUUAUUCAAAAUUGUCUCAUUUUUGUCACAAAGCCUAGUGACGUCCCUGAUAUUAUCCAAGUAUAAAGGGUGACCCCGAGUGCAUGUGAUCAUUAAUGAAGGAAAGUAAGACUGAGGAUUUGUUUGUGAGAUUAUAGGUGCAUGUCUUGAUAGACUCCAAGGAGAAUUGAGGAUCCACAUCGGAUUAAUUCCUGUCUUAAUAUAUCCUUGUUCGACACAAAUGUUAGGAAAGAGCUUAGAAUUUAAAGCUUUAGUUAUAUAAUCAAAUUAAUGUUGUUCCAUUUAUGAUUCGAUACAUAUAUCAAUAGUCGGAGAUUGAUUUUUCUACCUGAAGCAC
rnacentral:lncRNA from 1 species